GAUGAACGCUGGCGGCGUGCCUAAUACAUGCAAGUCGAGCGAACAGAUAAGGAGCUUGCUCCUUUGACGUUAGCGGCGGACGGGUGAGUAACACGUGGGUAACCUACCUAUAAGACUGGAAUAACUCCGGGAAACCGGGGCUAAUGCCGGAUAACAUUUAGAACCGCAUGGUUCUAAAGUGAAAGAUGGUUUUGCUAUCACUUAUAGAUGGACCCACGCCGUAUUAGCUAGUUGGUAAGGUAACGGCUUACCAAGGCAACGAUACGUAGCCGACCUGAGAGGGUGAUCGGCCACACUGGAACUGAGACACGGUCCAGACUCCUACGGGAGGCAGCAGUAGGGAAUCUUCCGCAAUGGGCGAAAGCCUGACGGAGCAACGCCGCGUGAGUGAUGAAGGUCUUCGGAUCGUAAAACUCUGUUAUUAGGGAAGAACAAAUGUGUAAGUAACUGUGCACGUCUUGACGGUACCUAAUCAGAAAGCCACGGCUAACUACGUG
rnacentral:rRNA from 1 species